ACAGCAGUCGCCGCGGUAAUACGGAGGGUGCAAGCGUUAAUCGGAAUUACUGGGCGUAAAGCGCACGCAGGCGGUCUGUCAAGUCAGAUGUGAAAUCCCCGGGCUUAACCUGGGAACUGCAUUUGAAACUGGCAGGCUAGAGUCUUGUAGAGGGGGGUAGAAUUCCAGGUGUAGCGGUGAAAUGCGUAGAGAUCUGGAGGAAUACCGGUGGCGAAGGCGGCCCCCUGGACAAAGACUGACGCUCAGGUGCGAAAGCGUGGGGAGCAAACAGGAUUAGAUACCCCGGUAGUCCCUGUCUCUUAUAA
rnacentral:rRNA from 1 species